ACAUCCAGAGAAUUUAGCAGAGAUGCUUUAGUGCCUUCGGGGAACUCUGGAGACAGGUGCUGCAUGGCUGUCGUCAGCUCGUGUUGUGAAAUGUUGGGUUAAGUCCCGNAACGAGCGCAACCCUUAUCCUUUGUUGCCAGCACGUAAUGGUGGGAACUCAAAGGAGACUGCCGGUGAUAAACCGGAGGAAGGUGGGGAUGACGUCAAGUCAUCAUGGCCCUUACGAGUAGGGCUACACACGUGCUACAAUGGCGCAUACAAAGAGAAGCGACCUCGCGAGAGCAAGCGGACCUCAUAAAGUGCGUCGUAGUCCGGAUUGGAGUCUGCAACUCGACUCCAUGAAGUCGGAAUCGCUAGUAAUCGUAAAUCAGAAUGUUACGGUGAAUACGUUCCCGGGCCUUGUACACACCGCCCGUCACACCAUGGGAGUGGGUUGCAAAAGAAGUAGAUAGCUUAACCUUCGGGAGGGCGUUUACCACUUUGUGAUUCAUGACUGGGGUGAAGUCGUAACAAGGUAGGCGUAGUGCU
rnacentral:rRNA from 1 species